rnacentral:rRNA from 1 species
AGAAUCAACGCUGGCGGCGCGCUUAACACAUGCAAGUCGCACGAGAAAGCAGGAGCAAUCUUGUGAGUACAGUGGCGCACGGGUGAGUAACACGUGGAUCAUCUACCUUCUAGUGGGGAAUACCCCUGGGAAACCGGGGAUAAUACCGCAUAAGCUCGAAAGAGGAAAGUCGAAAGGCGCUGGAAGAGGAGUCCGCGGCUGAUUAGCUAGUUGGUGGGGUAACGGCCCACCAAGGCGAAGAUCGGUAGCCGGCCUGAGAGGGCACACGGCCACACUGGCACUGAAACACGGGCCAGACUCCUACGGGAGGCAGCAGUGGGGAAUCUUGCACAAUGGGGGCAACCCUGAUGCAGCGACGCCGCGUGAGCGAUGAAGCCCUUCGGGGUGUAAAGCUCUUUCGACGGGAACGAUUAUGACGGUACCCGAAGAAGAAGCUGCGGCUAACUACGUGCCAGCAGCCGC